rnacentral:rRNA from 1 species
GAUGAACGCUGGCGGCGUGCCUAAUACAUGCAAGUCGAGCGAACGGACGAGAAGCUUGCUUCUCUGAUGUUAGCGGCGGACGGGUGAGUAACACGUGGAUAACCUACCUAUAAGACUGGGAUAACUUCGGGAAACCGUAGCUAAUACCGGAUAAUAUUUUGAACCGCAUGGUUCAAAAGUGAAAGACGGUCUUGCUGUCACUUAUAGAUGGAUCCGCGCUGCAUUAGCUAGUUGGUAAGGUAACGGCUUACCAAGGCAACGAUGCAUAGCCGACCUGAGAGGGUGAUCGGCCACACUGGAACUGAGACACGGUCCAGACUCCUACGGGAGGCAGCAGUAGGGAAUCUUCGGCAAUGGGCGAAAGCCUGACGGAGCAACGCCGCGUGAGUGAUGAAGGUCUUCGGAUCGUAAAACUCUGUUAUUAGGGAAGAACAUAUGUGUAAGUAACUGUGCACAACUUGACGGUACCUAAUCAGAAAGCCACGGCUAACUACGUG